rnacentral:rRNA from 1 species
UACGUAGGUGACCAGCGUUGUCCGGAUUUACUGGGCGUAAAGAGCGCGCAGGCGGUCGUUCAAGUCGAGUGUGAAAGCCCCCGGCUCAACUGGGGAGGGUCAUUCGAUACUGAUCGACUCGAAGGCAGGAGAGGGAAGCGGAAUUCCCGGUGUAGUGGUUAAAUGCGUAGAUAUCGGGAGGAACACCAGUGGCGAAGGCGGCUUCCUGGCCUGUUCUUGACGCUGAGGCGCGAAAGCUAGGGGAGCAAACGGG